rnacentral:rRNA from 1 species
UACGUAGGGGGCAAGCGUUGUCCGGAAUCAUUGGGCGUAAAGAGCGUGUAGGCGGCCCGGUAAGUCCGCUGUGAAAGUCCAGGGCUCAACCCUGGAAUGCCGGUGGAAACUGUCGGGCUAGAGUCCGGAAGAGGCGAGUGGAAUUCCUGGUGUAGCGGUGAAAUGCGCAGAUAUCAGGAGGAACACCAAUGGCGAAGGCAGCUCGCUGGGACGGUACUGACGCUGAGACGCGAAAGCGUGGGGAGCAGACAGG